GACGAACGCUGGCGGCGUGCCUAAUACAUGCAAGUUGAGCGCUGAAGGUUGGUACUUGUACCGACUGGAUGAGCAGCGAACGGGUGAGUAACGCGUGGGGAAUCUGCCUUUGAGCGGGGGACAACAUUUGGAAACGAAUGCUAAUACCGCAUAAAAACUUUAAACACAAGUUUUAAGUUUGAAAGAUGCAAUUGCAUCACUCAAAGAUGAUCCCGCGUUGUAUUAGCUAGUUGGUGAGGUAAAGGCUCACCAAGGCGAUGAUACAUAGCCGACCUGAGAGGGGGAUCGGCCACAGUGGGACUGAGACACGGCCCAAACUCCUACGGGAGGCAGCAGUAGGGAAUCUUCGGCAAUGGACGAAAGUCUGACCGAGCAACGCCGCGUGAGUGAAGAAGGUUUUCGGAUCGUAAAACUCUGUUGGUAGAGAAGAACGUUGGUGAGAGUGGAAAGCUCAUCAAGUGACGGUAACUACCCAGAAAGGGACGGCUAACUACGUG
rnacentral:rRNA from 1 species